AGUCCCGUGGUGUAGUGGCCAAUCAUAGUGGCCUUUGGAGCCACUGACAACGGUUCGAAUCCGUUCGGGACUA
rnacentral:tRNA from 1 species